UUUAGGUUCAGACAGUCGGUCUACCGAGCAAUUUCAACCGCUCGAUGGAAGAUCUUCCCUCCGUCGU
rnacentral:pre_miRNA from 1 species